rnacentral:rRNA from 1 species
UACGUAGGGUCCGAGCGUUGUCCGGAAUUACUGGGCGUAAAGAGCUCGUAGGUGGUUUGUCGCGUUGUUCGUGAAAACUCACAGCUUAACUGUGGGCGUGCGGGCGGAUACGGGCAGACUGGAGUACUGCAGGGGAGACUGGAAUUCCUGGUGUAGCGGUGGAAUGCGCAGAUAUCAGGAGGAACACCGGUGGCGAAGGCGGGUCUCUGGGCAGUAACUGACGCUGGAGGAGCGAAAGCGUGGGGAGCGAACAGGA